UUCCAGACUCCUACGGGAGGCAGCAGUGGGGAAUAUUGCACAAUGGGGGAAACCCUGAUGCAGCGACGCCGCGUGGGCGAGGAAGUACCUCGGUGUGUAAAGCCCUAUCAGCAGGGAAGAAACAGGACAGUACCUGACUAAGAAGCCCCGACUAACUACGUGCCAGCAGCCGCGGUAAUACGUAGGGGGCAAGCGUUAUCCGGAUUCACUGGGCGUAAAGGGAGCGCAGGCGGCAUGGCAAGUCUGAUGUGAAAACCCGGGGCCCAACCCCGGGAGUGCAUUGGAAACUGCCAGGCUGGAGUGUCGGAGGGGUAAGCGGAAUUCCUGUGUAGCGGUGAAAUGCGUAGAUAUUAGGAGGAACACCAGUGGCGAAGGCGGAUUACUGGACGACAACUGACGGUGAGGCGCGAAGGCCAGGGGAGCGAAAGGGAUUAGAUACCCCGGUA
rnacentral:rRNA from 1 species